UGUGUGCAAGUUGCCAAGGAAUGCAGCGACAACACCAAGUGGAACGUCUUUGAGUUGAGAGGUUAUCAACUGUUUAACAUAGGAAACAAACCGAACAUCUGCUGGCUGCCGUCAUAUCCAGAGUACAAUCAGUCACUGACUGUCUUCAGUGGGAGGAAGAAUGUUAAGCAGCAGUUCCCAGAGCGUCUCCACAUCAAAGAGGAAUCAGAGACGCUCAGUGGCGGUCGGCAUCAGGAGCCAAAAGGUGCAGCUUGUCCUGUUAAAUGUGAAGCUGAAGAGCAGAAGCCUCAGGCCUCCCAGGUAACAAACAGAACUCCACAUGAUGGAGGGACAUUCAACUUGCAGUUCAGAUGCAUUAAUGACAAGACAAAUGAUGGUCAUAAACAGCAAAAGAUCAGCAGCUGCCAGGAACCCAGAUCCACCAGCACAAGGUGCUGGUGGAACAGCAACAGACUGGUAUGAUGUCAGUCUUUAAAGCUAAAACCAGAUAAUUAGAAAGAUCUCAUACACAAGUGAAAAAAAUGGAUGAAUGGGAUGUAAAUCUGUGAAAACAAUACUUAAUACUGAUUUACUGAAACAAGACGGUUUAGGACAAAACAAUGGGGAUGGAGAUUCAAAUAUGAUCGGCCAUACAGGAAAGAAACCGUAUGGAUGUGAUGUUUGUUGUGAAUGCUUUAAGCAGAAGGCUUACCUGCAUUCACAAAUGAGAGGAACUCUGUGAAUGUGAUACUAAUAUUUUCAAUGAAAGGUUCACCAGAACAGAGACACUUUUAGGAGAAAACUUAUGGAUGUGAUAUUUUUGCCACAAACUUUUCUUUUAAAAGGCUAGCGUGAAUAUGUACAUCAUGAGCCACAUAUGAAAGCGAAUAGUUUAACUCAUAUUCUGUUUGAAAAAUGCUCUUAUGGUAUUGUGUUUUUUUUUUUCCUCUAUUAUUUGUAUUGUGUGUGUUGUUUCAAUAGAUGCAUUUUGGUAGUUAAUUUUUGAAGUGUAAUAGGAACUUUGCAGGUUUUUUUUUUUUUUUUUAGGUAAGCCUUGUGUUCAUGAUUUUUUUUAUAUAUAUAUAAGUGAUUGAUUGUCUUCAAUGUGUGUGCGUUUCUCAUCCUUCAAAUUGAAACCUGCAUCCUUGUGACAUUAGGGACUUUCAGAACUUAAUAAAAUUAUUUGUGAAACUGCUACCCCA
rnacentral:lncRNA from 1 species